CCUGGAGGAACCCAUGCCUGGACAAAGGACAGGAGCGGGGCUAGAAGGAGGGCGAAAGAGGCCGUUUGCCGCCGCCACCUCACGCGCCCCUGCGCGCGGCAGGUCGCUGGCGGGGCGAGUGAGCAAGAGAAUGAAAUACACCUUUUCUCACAUGAAAAUGAACCUUGGGGAGGCAUUGGUGCUUUGAUUGCUUACAAACAAUGCAAGGAAGCCAGCACCAUCACCGCAGCAAAUGUUUAUAUCAACAUUGUCAGGGCAGGAAGCCAACACCACUACCACAGCAGAGGUUUAUCUCAACACUGUUAAGGCAGCAAACCCACCAACUGACACCAUGGAGCAACAGAGGGAGCUAAUCCUGAGAAACUUCAUCAAACCCCUGCGCAUGCACCCAGACCCAAUCGAGGAUCAAGGGGUCUGGAGACCUCUGAAGACCACCUGACGGUAUUGGACACACACACCACUGCCGGGUGGAAGGUGUGGUUAAGCAGAACAGCUUGUGACAAUCGUAUAAAACAAUGGAACCAACCAACAUCGGAUGGAAUGUUCCCCCACCACACUUGGAAAUGGAUCAGACUGACUGGGACGCUGCAGCUCUGGGGUGGUAGCUAUUGCUGUGAAGUCUUUCAUUCUUUCCUUCCUUUCUCUCUUUAUCUCUCGCUCUCUCCUUUGCAUUUGCAAACCUGUUGUUGGGCAAAUAAAGUUCCUUGGCUCUUG